UGUAAAGAGACAAAGUAAUAUUGACGACACAAGAAAAACAUUUUGAAGAAGCGAUCCUUUCCCUGCACAUAAGCCUCUUCCUCUCCAUCUUUAAUGACACCGUUUUCAUAAUCCCCCUUGAUUUCAAAAUUGGCAUCUGCAGCUUUGCUCGUGAAAAUUUGCGCCAUCUUUAUGACAACAGCAAGGAACAU
rnacentral:ribozyme from 10 species